UUGAUAUGGGAGAAGAUGAUAUUGAUGAUUCAUGAUCAUAUUUUUUAUAAAGGAUUUGGUCUUUUUUUAUUUUUUUAUUUUUCAGUUACAAAAUAACUAUUAUAUUUUUAUAAGGUCCAUGUAUUUUAUUUUUGAUAUUGAUACAAGUUGAUGAUUUCUAUGUAAUAGCUAAGCCAGGGCUACAAAGGUGACUUCAACGGCCUUUACAACGUUAGUUGUUAUCUCUAUUAUUUUAAUAUUCAUAUAAUUUUUGGUGAGUUAAUGGUUUAUUUUUUAUUGCGGGAAGAUGAAGCUGGCCGACGGUGCCGUUGCCUAUAUGGAAGACGAUCCGUUCCCGUUUCCUCUCUUCUUAAGUUUUCUUUGGGUUCUUGAUAUGGUUUCUUGAUAGCCGUUUUCUUGUCUUCUUGCUUUCUCGAUGGAUUCCUGAGACAAUUGUUGAUUUAUAGUUUAGUUUCGGUGUUCUCUGGA
rnacentral:lncRNA from 1 species